rnacentral:rRNA from 1 species
GUGAGGAAUAUUGGACAAUGGGCGCAAGCCUGAUCCAGCCAUGCCGCGUGCAGGAAGACGCAUCUAUGGUGUGUAAACUGCUUUUGUACGGGAAGAAACACUCCCUCGUGAGGGAGCUUGACGGUACCGUAAGAAUAAGGAUCGGCUAACUCCGUGCCAGCAGCCGCGGUAAUACGGAGGAUCCAAGCGUUAUCCGGAAUCAUUGGGUUUAAAGGGUCCGUAGGCGGUUUAAUAAGUCAGUGGUGAAAGCCCAUCGCUCAACGAUGGAACGGCCAUUGAUACUUUUAGACUUGAAGUACAAGGAAGUAACUAGAAUAUGUAGUGUAGCGGUGAAAUGCUUAGAUAUUACAUGGAAUACCAAUUGCGAAGGCAGGUUACUACUUGUGGAUUGACGCUGAUGGACGAAAGCGUGGGGAGCGAACAGGAUUAGAUACCCCGGUAGUCC